UACGUAGGGUGCAAGCAUUGUCCGGAUUUAUUGGGCGUAAAGAGCUCGUAGGCGGCUUGUCACGUCGGAUGUGAAAACUCGGGGCUCAACCCCGAGCCUGCAUUCGAUACGGGCUAGCUAGAGUGUUGCAGGGGAGACUGGAAUUCCUGGUGUAGCGGUGAAAUGCGCAGAUAUCAGGAGGAACACCGGUGGCGAAGGCGGGUCUCUGGGCCGAUACUGACGCUGAGGAGCGAAAGCGUGGGGAGCGAACAGG
rnacentral:rRNA from 1 species